AACGAACGCUGGCGGCAUGCCUAACACAUGCACGUCGAACGAGACCUUCGGGUCUAGUGGCGCACGGGUGCGUAACGCGUGGGAACCUGCCCUUAGGUUCGGAAUAACUCCCCGAAAGGGGUUCUAAUACCGGCUAAUGUCUUCGGCCCAAAGAUUUAUCGCCUUUGGAUGGGCCCGCGUUGGAUUAGCUAGUUGGUAGGGUAAAAGCCUACCAAGGCGACGAUCCAUAGCUGGUCUGAGAGGAUGAUCAGCCACACUGGGACUGAGACACGGCCCAGACUCCUACGGGAGGCAGCAGUGGGGAAUAUUGGACAAGGGGCGAAAGCCUGAUCCAGCAAUGCCGCGUGAGUGAUGAAGGCCUUAGGGUUGUAAAGCUCUUUUACCUGGGAUGAUAAUGACAGUACCGGGAGAAUAAGCUCCGGCUAACUCCGUG
rnacentral:rRNA from 1 species